ACUGGGCUCACGCGACUGGCGUAAUUGAUGGGUCACCAUCGGGGAGCGUAGUGUGUGGGCCGUGCGCCUGGGCUGACACG
rnacentral:ncRNA from 1 species